rnacentral:rRNA from 1 species
UACGGAGGGUGCAAGCGUUAAUCGGAAUUACUGGGCGUAAAGCGCGCGUAGGCGGUUUGAUAAGUCGAUUGUGAAAUCCCCGGGCUCAACCUGGGAAUUGCAGUCGAGACUGUCAGACUAGAGUGUGGGAGAGGGUGGUGGAAUUCCCGGUGUAGCGGUGAAAUGCGUAGAUAUCGGGAGGAACAUCAGUGGCGAAGGCGACCGCCUGGCCCAACACUGACGCUGAGGUGCGGAAAGCGUGGGUAGCAAACAGG